rnacentral:rRNA from 1 species
UGCAGAAUCCCGUGAACCAUCGAGUUUUUGAACGCAAGUUGCGCCCGAAGCCAUCAGGCUGAGGGCACGUCUGCCUGGGCGUCACGC